rnacentral:rRNA from 1 species
UACGUAGGCAGCGAGCGUUGUUCGGAGUUACUGGGCGUAAAGGGCGCGUAGGCGGCGUGACAAGUCACUUGUGAAAUCUCCGGGCUUAACUCGGAACGGUCAAGUGAUACUGUCGGACUAGAGUACAGAAGGGGCAACUGGAAUUCUCGGUGUAGCGGUGAAAUGCGUAGAUAUCGAGAGGAACACCUGCGGCGAAGGCGGGUUGCUGGGCUGAUACUGACGCUGAGGCGCGAAAGCCAGGGGAGCGAACGGG